GUGGUUGUAGCUCAAUUGGUUAGAGUGCAGGAUUGUGGUUCCUGAUGUUGUGGGUUCGAGUCCCAUCAGCCACC
rnacentral:tRNA from 1 species